CAGAAAUGUUUUGCUCUGUCAUGGUGAUCCCAGAUAGAAAUUAUUUUUAAAUUCCCAUUUCCCAUUUUGAAUAUAAAGAUGAACGCUUUCUAUGCUUACAUGGAAGAGGUUUUGGAUGAUCCUUGGAGACGUGCAUUAAAAUAUUUUUCUUUUAUCUUUUAGUUCAAAAUUUUAACAAAACCCACCGUUUGGCUGGAAGCCGCCACUCAGAUAUUCUUCUCUCUCAGUCUGGCAUUCGGGGGUCUGGUUUCCAUGGCGAGUUACAAUCCUAUACAUAAUGAUUGUCGACGUGAUUCUAUCGUUGUUUCACUGGUCAACUGUUUUACAUCUCUACUCGCUUCGUUAGUUGUGUUUGCCAUGCUCGGUUUCAAAGUAAGGAUAAUGAAUGACUAUACAGAAAUAGUAAUUUUGUUUACUUAAAAUAUAGACACCACUCCGAGUUUCACGCUCAAUGCGAUCCUCAGGCGACGAUGUUUAAGUCUCGAAACGUGACUAUACUUUAAGUAAAACGAAGUUAAUAUUCGCUCUGCCUAAUAAAUGGUAUUGAGCACUUUCUACACUGUAAAAAUUUGAUCAUUAUUGGUCGCAUUAUA